rnacentral:misc_RNA from 1 species
GAUGAAGAACGUAGCGAAAUGCGAUAAGUAAUGUGAAUUGCAGAAUUCAGUGAAUCAUCGAAUCUUUGAACGCAUAUUGCGCCCCUUGGUAUUCCGAGGGGCAUGCCUGUUCGAGCGUCAUUAUAACCCUCAAGCUCAGCUUGGUGUUGGGGCCUGCUGCAGUGGCAGCCCUUAAAAUCAGUGGCGGCGCCAUCUGGCUCUAAGCGUAGUAAUUCUUCUCGCUAUGGAGUCCUGGUGGAUGCUUGCCAUCAACCCCCAAUUUUUCUAUGGUUGACCUCGGAUCAGGUAGGGAUACCCGCUGAACUUAAGCAUAUCAAUAAGCGGAGGA